AAUUUCAUAAUUAAAGACAAGGUAUACGGGACUCUGAAUCCUGAGACAGCGGUUCGAAUCCGCUUGGGGCUA
rnacentral:tRNA from 1 species